rnacentral:rRNA from 1 species
AUUGAACGCUGGCGGCGUGCCUAACACAUGCAAGUCGAGCGGUAACAGGUGUAGCAAUACAUUCUGACGAGCGGCGAACGGGUGAGUAAUGCUUCGGAAACUACCUUAUGGUGGGGAAUAACUAGCCGAAAGGUUAGCUAAUACCGCAUACGUCCUACGGGAGCAAGCAGGGGAUCGCAAGACCUUGCGCCCAAAGAUGAGCAGAAGUCGGAUUAGCUAGUUGGUAGGGUAACGGCCUACAAAGGCGACGAUCCGUAGCUGGUCUGAGAGGACGACCAGCCACACUGGGACUGAGACACGGCCCAGACUCCUACGGGAGGCAGCAGUGGGGAAUAUUUGACAAUGGGGGAAACCCUGAUCCAGCGACGCCGCGUGUGUGAAGAAGGCCUGCGGGUUGUAAAGCACUUUUAGUGGGGAUGAAAUGUGCAGGGUUAAUACCUCUGCAUUUUGACCUAACCCACAGAAAAAGCACCGGCUAACUCUGUGCCAGCAGCCGCCGUAA